GGCGAACGCUGGCGGCAGGCUUAACACAUGCAAGUCGAGCGGGCACCUUCGGGUGUCAGCGGCAGACGGGUGAGUAACACGUGGGAACGUACCCUUCGGUUCGGAAUAACGCUGGGAAACUAGCGCUAAUACCGGAUACGCCCUUAUGGGGAAAGGUUUACUGCCGAAGGAUCGGCCCGCGUCUGAUUAGCUAGUUGGUGGGGUAACGGCCUACCAAGGCGACGAUCAGUAGCUGGUCUGAGAGGAUGAUCAGCCACACUGGGACUGAGACACGGCCCAGACUCCUACGGGAGGCAGCAGUGGGGAAUAUUGGACAAUGGGCGCAAGCCUGAUCCAGCCAUGCCGCGUGAGUGAUGAAGGCCUUAGGGUUGUAAAGCUCUUUUGUCCGGGACGAUAAUGACGGUACCGGAAGAAUAAGCCCCGGCUAACUUCGUG
rnacentral:rRNA from 1 species